AGUMUUCAAACAAAUUGCUUAAGGUGCCAUUGUGGCACAUAAAACACCAUUGUCAUUGUCAAGGAUUUGUCCAAAUGUGCAAGAAGUGGCAUCCAUCAAUUCUGCGACAAAAAAGACCUUGAUGUCGAGAAGGUCAAGGUCAUGCCCACCGGUGUAAGGAUCGACUGAUAUUGAAAGCUUUGUGGCUUCCCAUUAUCCUCAUUAUCCCCAUUAUCUACUAACGACCCAUAGAUAGAUAAUGGGGAGCCAACAAAGCUUUUAAUAUCAGUCGAUCCUCACACCGGCGGGUAAGACCUUGAACUCAUCGAUAUCAAGGCCUUUCUUCUUGUAGAAUUGAUGGAUGACACUUCUUGCGCAUUUGGACAAAUCUUUAAGGAUGUCAAUGGUGUUUUCGUGCCACAGUGGCACCUUAAGCAGCUUGUUCUCUUCCU
rnacentral:pre_miRNA from 1 species